rnacentral:rRNA from 1 species
CGUUAUCCGGAAUCAUUGGGCGUAAAGCGUACCGAUAGGUGGUUUACAAGUCAGAAGUGAAAUCUCUCAGCUUAACUGGGAGACUGUCUUUUGAAACUGUAAAACUUGAGGGGCAAAGAGGAAGCUGGAACAAACGGUGUAGUAGUGAAAUGCGUUGAUAUCGUUUGGAACACCAAUAGCGUAGGCAGGCUUCUGGGUGCCACCUGACACUGCUAGGACGAAAGCGUGGGGAGCGAUAAGGAUUAGAUACCCUUGUAGUCCACGCUGUAAACGAUGCACAUUAGGUGCUAGACAGUAUCGACCCUGUUUAGUACCAUAGCUAACGCGUUAAAUGUGCCGCCUGGGGAGUACGGCCGCAAGGCUAAAACUCAAAGGAAUUGACGGGGACCUGCACAAGCGGUGGAGCAUGUGGUUUAAUUCGACGGUAAGCGAGGAACCUUACCAAGUUUUGACAUGGACCUGCAUACAUUGGAAACAGUGUAGCCUUCGAGGGUGGUUCACAGGUGCUGCACGGUUGUCGUCAGCUCGUGCCGUGAGGUGUUCACUUAAGUGUGAAAACGAGCGCAACCCCUACGGUGAGUUACAAGUGUCUCACAGAACUGCCAGCGUUUAAGCUGGAGGAAGGUGGGGAUGACGUCAAAUCAGCGUGGCUCUUACAACUUGGGCGACACACGUGCUACAAUGGACAGUUACAAAGGGACGCCAAGGCGUAAGCCGGAGCAAAUCCCAUCAAAACUGUCCCCAGUUCGGAUUGAGGGCUGCAACUCGCCCUCAUGAAGCCGGAAUCGCUAGUAACCGUAUAUC